AAUGGACGGAAGUCUGAACCAGCCAUGCCGCGUGAAGGAUGAAGGCGUUCUGCGUUGUAAACUUCUUUUAUCUGGGAAGAAACCACAGAUUUCUAUUUGUGUUGACGGUACCAGAUGAAUAAGCACCGGCUAACUCCGUGCCAGCAGCCGCGGUAAUACGGAGGGUGCGAGCGUUAUCCGGAUUUACUGGGUUUAAAGGGUGCGUAGGCGGGCUAUUAAGUCAGAGGUGAAAUCUCCGGGCUCAACCUGGAAACUGCCUUGGAUACUAUUAGCCUUGAAUUAUGUUGAGGUUGGCGGAAUAUAACAUGUAGCGGUGAAAUGCUUAGAUAUGUUAUGGAACACCGAUUGCGAAGGCAGCUGGCUAAACAUAUAUUGACGCUGAUGCACGAAAGCGUGGGUAGCGA
rnacentral:rRNA from 1 species